GGACGUGAGGGUGGUCUGGCUGUGACAGCUGUCACCCCAUGGGUCACCAGGGUUGACUGGGCUGAUCUGGCUGGCAUGGUGGGUGUCCCCCUCCUCCUGCGCCACUCCAUCUACGUCCCUCCCGAAGCUGCACGCUCUAUUCAAGAGAACAACCACCCCUGACAGAGGAGGAGGGUAUAUGGGUAGCUGCACUCCUCUGCAAGGACUUCCAAACAAGCUCUCAAAAACCAUAACUGAGUUUAGCCUGAGGUUAGCUCAAAGGGAGUUCUUACGCUGUAAUAAUUU
ensembl:misc_RNA 7SK 7SK RNA